rnacentral:lncRNA from 1 species
GACAGAGUGAAAUCUUGUCUCUUUAAAAAAAAAAAAAAUCCAAGGGCUAACAGCAAUAGUAGUUUCUGACGGUAAGCAGGACAUGAUCAGAACUGUGCUUUAGAAAUAAUUUGGGUACCAUUAGGUGGGUUAAUAAGCUAGAGGUAGAAGGACAUGUGAGGGGAUAGAGACAGAAUAAAGGGCCUGAACUUUGAGAGUAGCAGUGGAAGUAGGAGUCAAUCUCAAAAGGUAUUGUAGAAGUCAAAAACAUUAAUUCAUUCAUUUGAUAGAUACUAAGUACCUCAUGUAAUCAGCACUGUGCCAGGUACUGUGGAUAACGAUAAAAUUUUACCUGCCUUUGAAGGGAAUUCAUAGUCUAAUUGGGGCAACAGAAGAAUGACUGCAAUACGGUGUAGUAAGUGCAGUGAUGGUGAAGCACGUCAUGCGCUGUGAUGUAACAAAGGGUGCAGUAAGGAUUUGCCUGCAAGUUUCCUGGAAGAGAAGAUUUGUAACCUGGGUUUUGAAAGAUAAGGAGCUGACAGUGGCUGGGGAAGCUGGGAUGAGGUGUAGGGUUGACUGGAGGAUGGCAGAUCAAGCAAAAGAUGAUAUGUAGUUUGGUAUGACCCAGCACAGGGAGGGACUGAUUGUAGAGGACCUUAUAUGCCACGAUAAGUUUUGCUGACAGCUAUGUAAAGAAUGGAUUUGUGGGAGGAAGAUCAAAAAUAAUGAGUAAUGUGUCAUCUAAGAGAGAACACUGGAAUCCAACAGAGAACUUACAGAAAACACCAGUAGCAAGGAAGGAGAAGGAAGCGAGGAAGUCUGCUCAGCUGGGGUCAUCUGGGAACCUAUAGAGGCUCCCUUAAUGCGGAGAAAGGGUAAUAUGAAUGCAAAUAAAAUUUAAAAGAACCUCCCAUGGAGAGGAGACAUUGCCAUUUUCCAUGAGGUACAGAAGCCCACGUUUCUGAGUUGGUGGACACAGUGGCACAAGUAGGAAGUUUUAGUUUUGAGGGUUCCUUUCUUCUCCCUCUUCACGUCAAUGUACUUUGGUUGUCUAAAAUGCGUUGAAAGCCUUAUUUUCUGUACUUUAUGUCUCUCACAAUGUCAUCUAAAAACAUUAAUUGGCAUUACAACAUUAAUCUUGCUUUUACAUAAUUUUAAAAAAAUUAAUUAUUUUUUUUUCUUUUGAGACAGGGUCUU